AUACACCUCGAGAACAGCCAUCAGCAAAAGAAAUAACUUAGCUUUCCUAGUGAUAUCUCGACGUCCGUGUUGCAAAGAAGUUGCAAGGAACUCAUUCCGUGACGUAAAAUAUUAAUGAGAAAGUGGAGGAAAAGAGAUUUAUAGAAUAAACUGUUAUUUCGUUUGUGAAUAAUUAAAUGGCUUCUGAUAGGGUGAUUAUGGUGUUAUGGUGAAUGGUGAAUGAAAAUUAAUGAAGUGAUGUAUUGACAAAAGUAGAUUUUUUGGAAAAACAGAAAUAGAGAGAGAAAGAGAGGAAAGGUAGUAAUGAAACUAACAUUAAGUGAUAAGUGAGAAGGGGAAGAGAAAAGAAAAAAAGAGUAAGGGAAUAUUAAAAAAAGAGGUGCAGGAAAGAAGAAGA